AGUGAACGCUGGCGGUAGGCCUAACACAUGCAAGUCGAACGGCAGCACAGUAAGAGCUUGCUCUUACGGGUGGCGAGUGGCGGACGGGUGAGGAAUACAUCGGAAUCUACUUUUUCGUGGGGGAUAACGUAGGGAAACUUACGCUAAUACCGCAUACGACCUACGGGUGAAAGCAGUGGAUCUUCGGACCUUGCGCGAUUGAAUGAGCCGAUGUCGGAUUAGCUAGUUGGCGGGGUAAAGGCCCACCAAGGCGACGAUCCGUAGCUGGUCUGAGUGGCUGAUCGGCCACACUGGAACUGAGACACGGUCCAGACUACUACGGGAGGCAGCAGUGGGGAAUAUUGGACAAUGGGCGCAAGCCUGGUCCAGCCAUACCGCGUGGGUGAAGGAGGCCUUCGGGUUGUGAAGCCCUUUUGUUGGGAAAGAAAAGCAGCAGGUUAAUACCCCGCUGUUCUGACGGUACCCAAAGAAUAAGCACCGGCUAACUUCGUG
rnacentral:rRNA from 1 species